rnacentral:rRNA from 1 species
AGUUCGAUCAUGGCUCAGAUUGAACGCUGGCGGGAUACUUCCGCGCAAGUCGAACGGCAGCACGGACUUCGGUCUGGUGGCGAGUGGCGAACAGGUGAGUAAUGUAUCGGAACGUGCCUAGUAGCGGGGGAUAUAACUACGCGAAAGCGUAGCUAGCCCUGCUACGCACUGGCGGGGAAAGCGGGGACCUUUCGGGCCUCGCACUAUUAGAGCAGCCGAUAUCGGGAUUAGCUAGUUGGUGGGGGUAACGGCUCACCAAGGCGACGAUCCGUAGCUGGUUUGAGGAGGACGACCAGCCACACUGGGACUGAGACACGGCCCAGACUCUACAGGAGGCAACUUGGGGGAAUUUUGGACAAUGGGGGAAACCCUGAUCCAGCCAUCCGGCGUGUGCGAUGAAGGCCUUUAGAGGUUGUAAAGCACUUUUGGCAGGAAAGAAACGGCACGGGAUAAUACCCCGUGCAACUGACGGUACCUGCAGAUAACGCAACCUUUAACUACGUGCCAGCAGCCGCGGUAAUACGUAGGGUGCAAGCGUUAAUCGAAUUGCCUGGGCGUAAAGCGUGCGCGAGCGGUUCGAAGAAGAUGUGAAAUCCCAGAGCUUAACUUUGGAACUGCAUUUUUAACUACCGAGCUAGAGUGUGUCAGAGGUGAAUUCCGCGUGCUGUAGUGAAAUGCGUAGAUAUGCGGAGGAAGACACCGAUAGCGAAAACAGCCUCCUGGGAUAACACUGACGCUCAUGCACGAAAGCAGUAGAGGGAGCAAACGGGAUUAGAUACCGCUGGUAGUCCACGCCCUACUUGGAAAUGUCAACUAGCUGUUGGGGCCUUCGGGCCUUGGUAGCGCAACUAACGCGUGAAGUUGACCGCCGCGAGGUACGGUCGCAAGAUUAAAACUCAAAGGAAUUGACGGGGACCCGCACAAGCGGUGGAUGAUGUGGAUUAAUUCGAUGCAACGCGAAAACCUUACCUACCCUUAGAGCAUGUCUGGGUCAAUCCCGAAGAGAUUUGGGAGUGCUCGCAAGAGAACCGGAACACAGGUGCUGCAUGGCUGUCGUCAGCUCGUGUGUGAGAUGUUGGGUUAAGUCCCGCAACGAGUGCAACCCUUGUCAUUAGUUGCUGCGAAGGGCACUCUAAUGGGCACUGCCGGUAUUAAACCGGAGGAGGUGGGGAUGACGUCAAGUCCUCAUGGCCCUUAUGGGUAGGGCUUCACACGUCAUACAAUGGUCGGGACAGAGGGGUCGCCAACCCGCGAGAGGCCAAUCCCAGGAAGCCCGAUCGUAGUCCGGAUCGCAGUCUGCAACUCGACUGCGUGAAGUCGGAAUCGCUAGUAAUCGCGGAUCAGCAUGUCGCGGUGAAUACGUUCCCGGGUCUUGUACACACCGCCCGUCACACCAUGGGAGUGCUACCAGAAGUAGUUAGCUAACCGUAAGGAGGGCGAUUACCACGGUAGGAUUCAUGACUGGGGUGAAGUCGUAACAAGGUAG